AACUUCUUCUUUUUUCGUUUAUUUCUUCCUAUUUCAAUUCCCUUAAUUUUUUUAAUCUUAAUGACAAGAGAAAGAACAAAAGCUUGUGAUGAGUUGUGAAUUUUGACUUUACCAGUAGGACAUUAAUAUUGUGGGGGGUUUGGGUUGACUGAGACAUAUUAUGUAUAUGUCAAUAAUAUAUGAAAACAAGGUAGUACUGGAUUUAAUUUUGUUUAAGCUAUAGACAAUCUCUUUAAUGAGCAAGGAUUAAUAUAUUGAUCAAAUUUGCAGGCAAUAUCAAGAGAAGCAAGACAAUUUAACCUCGGAGAAGCUAGAUAUUAU
rnacentral:lncRNA from 1 species